rnacentral:tRNA from 1 species
GCGCGAGUGAUGGAACGGCAGACAUAGCGGACUUAAAAUCCGCUGGGGGUGACCCCGUGAGGGUUCGAAUCCCUCUUCGCGCACCA